rnacentral:tRNA from 2 species
UGCACAGUGGAGCAGCCAGGUAGCUUACCGGAAUGCUUUUUCGGUGGUCGCAGGUUCGAAUCCUGCCUGUGCAA